GGGCGGUUAGCUCAGUUGGUAGAGCAUUCGCUUGACGUGCGAAGGGUCAGAGGUUCGAAUCCUCUACCGCCCA
rnacentral:tRNA from 1 species